CCUUUCCAAGGGCGCUUACGUGUGGUCUCCUGAUCCGAGGGUUGAGAAUCCUCGGAGUCAGAAGGCAAGCGUGCGGUAGGAUUGACUUCGGCAGAAGUCUUCUCAUGAAAGGCGGCUAACGCCUUGGGAAUGGAUUCGGCAAUGGUUGAGACCAGCCAAGCUCUAAGUUCUUGGGAGAUUGCGGGCUCUGUAUUAUCAGACAUGGUAUGUCCUAAGUGGUCUGACUUAUAGUCAAUUGCUAAGGAAAUAAGUAAUAAGUGGGGAUCACCCGAUAGUAUCAAGCGAAAUUUAUAAAUGGGGGUCGACCAAAAUAUUUUGUAGAUAAUAGGUAAAGGGUGGCAUAUAAUAUUUAGUGGGGUAACCACUAAAAUAGACAAGUGGAUUGUACCACUAUAACAACAGUGAGUGAUAUUCGUCACUCAAUUUACUUAGACAGGUG